CAGAGGUCUCAAGCGUUGUUCGGAUUCAUUGGGCGUAAAGGGUGCGUAGGUGGCGGGGUAAGUCAGGUGUGAAAUCUCGAGGCUCAACCUCGAAACUGCACUUGAUACUGCCUUGCUGGAGUACUGGAGAGGAGAUUGGAAUUUACGGUGUAGCAGUGAAAUGCGUAGAUAUCGUAAGGAAGACCAGUGGCGAAGGCGAAUCUCUGGACAGUUACUGACACUGAGGCACGAAGGCCAGGGGAGCAAACGGGAUUAGAUACCCCGGUAGUCCUGGCAGUAAACGGUGCGCGUUUGGUGUGGGAGGAUUCGACCCCAUCUGUGCCGGAGCUAACGCGUUAAACGCGCCGCCUGGGGAGUACGGUCGCAAGAUUA
rnacentral:rRNA from 1 species